UAAGGAAUAUUGCGCAAUGGGGGAAACCCUGACGCAGCAACGCCGCGUGGAGGAUGACACUUUUCGGAGCGUAAACUCCUUUUAUCAGGAAAGAAUAAUGACGGUACCUGAUGAAUAAGCACCGGCUAACUCCGUGCCAGCAGCCGCGGUAAUACGGGGGGUGCAAGCGUUACUCGGAACCACUGGGCGUAAAGGACGCGUAGGCGGAUUAUCAAGUCUUUUGUGAAAUCUAGUGGCUUAACCACUAAACUGCUUAGGAAACUGAUAGUCUAGAGUAGGGGAGAGGUAGAUGGAAUUCUUGGUGUAGGGGUAAAAUCCGUAGAGAUCAAGAAGAAUACCCAUUGCGAAAGCGAUCUGCUGGAACCUAACUGACGCUGAGGCGUGAAAGCGUGGGUAGCAAACAGG
rnacentral:rRNA from 1 species